rnacentral:rRNA from 1 species
CUGAACGCGCGGGGACCACCCCGUAACCCUAAAUACUUCUUAGUGACCGAUAGCGCAUAGUACUGUGAAGGAAAGGUGAAAAGAACCCCGAGAGGGGAGUGAAAGAGAACCUGAAACCCUGUGUUUACAAGCUGUCGAACCUCUUUAUAUGGGGAACGGCGUACUUUUUGUAGAACGGUCCGGCGAGUUACGAUUACUGGCAAGGUUAAGCACUGAAGGUGUGGAGCCGAAGGGAUACCAAGUCUGAAUAGGGCGAAUAGUCAGUGAUUGUAGACCCGAAACCGGGUGACCUAUCCAUGUCCAGG